rnacentral:misc_RNA from 1 species
UAUAUUUAACAUUACUUAUAUAGUAAAAAUUUCUAACAUAUAUAAUAUUUGCACAUAAUAUUUUAUUUACAAAUAGAUAAUGCAAUGAUAGGUUUUUUAAAUACCCGUUAUUAAACUAUUUAGCAGUUUAAUUAAAUGCCAAUAAAAAUGCAGAGCCUUUUUUUUUAAGAUAUUCAAUUCAAUUGUCUAAGAUAGUUGUAAGUUGUAUUAAAACAAGGAUUUUACUUAAUAUACAUAAUAUAUAAGGUAUAAAAAUAAGACAAUUAAGUUAUAUUAAGACAAAGUCUUAAUCAUAAUAUAUAUUUUAUUUAUUUGAAUGGAAAAUUUUUUAAUUUGUUGUGGAACUAGACUAGAAAUUACCUAAUAAGCUUCUUAUAACUUGUGUAAUGUGUUUCUUUUACGAAUUUGUAUAUUGGUAUAAUCAUAUCAUGCUAUUCCUACAAUAUUAUAACUAACACUGACUCAUUAGCUUAAGUCUCAAGUCACGAAAAAGGGCCAACUCUCACUUGUUGGCGGAAGUUAGCAAAAUAUGUUAAGGACUUAAUUCAGAGUGUGCUAUUAUGUCUGAAUGGUGUCGUGUAAAGUGGCUUGAAGAAGAAUUAGUUUACUCUGACACUGUUCCUUUAAGUUGGAUUAAUGCUUAAGUUUUGAGAUGGCCAAAAAAAGGAGCUGAGUUAAGUUAAGGGACCAGGUUGAACCUCAUAAUGAUUGGUUUAAAUUUCAAGUUCUCAAAAUUAAAUUAACUGAUAAAGAUUUUAUGACUUGCCAUUCAUAUAAUAUUACAACUGAUACUGACUCUUGUGAUUUUGAUUUUUAAAAAGAUGUCUCAAGUUGCAAAAAAAAGUAAAAAUUUGCAGUACACUUCCUCCAAAGCCUGAAAUCAAAUUAGGUUUUAGAAAUAAAAAGCAUUUACCCCAGAAUUAGAAAAAGAACCUAAAUCUUUCACAUAAAGCUAUUCAGAAUAAAGUAAAUAUUGAUUUGAAUCAACCUACUCAGUCAGUAUUUAGUUUUCGAAGUUCAUCAAAAUCCCAUAAUUCAAAGAAAUCGUGCUUUCGAUCUUCCAGUAGUUCUUGUUCACUAUCUCCUCAGAGUAAAAGUAAAAGAAGGCCAGAUUAUUGUUCUCUUUUACAAUCAGAGAAAAUUGAAACACAGAGUCAACUCUCUUGUGGAUUACCAAAAAGUAAAGAACAUUCUACUCUGGCUAUUAACAGAAAUAACUUUCCAAUGAGUGAUCAAAAAUUCCAGUAUGAAGUCAUGUUUACAAUGUCAACCCAAACGUACAUUGUCACAUAAUUUGAGUGCGGAAAUUCCGACUCAAUUCUUGACAGUAGAAGAUUUGAAUGAAUUUGAACUUAAAAUGCAUGAUAAUAGUUUUGCACAAAAAUUUGUUAAACAACUCUCACGUGUUGGUGGAAAAUCAUCUAAAUAUAUGGUUAAGGACCUAAUUCAAAGAUUGAUGUCAAAUGAUCUUCAGAAAAAAUUCAGCAUGAUUGGUUUAAAAGGAAAGCUUAAGUUUGAAAAAACUUUGUUGUAUAAUGUAGUAAAUAAUGAGUUUGUUUAUAGAUGCAGUAUUAAAUGUCUUUCCGGAUGCUACCAGCUCAGAAGUACGAAUAGAAGUGAUGAACCAU